UACGUAGGGUGCAAGCGUUAAUCGGAAUUACUGGGCGUAAAGCGUGCGCAGGCGGCUUUGCAAGACAGAUGUGAAAUCCCCGGGCUUAACCUGGGAACUGCAUUUGUGGCUGCAUGGCUGGAGUGCGGCAGAGGGGGAUGGAAUUCCGCGUGUAGCAGUGAAAUGCGUAGAUAUGCGGAGGAACACCGAUGGCGAAGGCAAUCCCCUGGGCCUGCACUGACGCUCAUGCACGAAAGCGUGGGGAGCAAACAGG
rnacentral:rRNA from 1 species